rnacentral:Y_RNA from 1 species
GGUUGGUCCGAGUGCCGAGGGCAGUGGUGUUUACAACUAAUUGAUCACACCAGUUACAGAUUCCUUUAUUCCUUCUCCACUCUCACUGCUCUACUUGACCAGCCUUUA